UACGUAGGAUCCAAGCGUUGUCCGGAUUUACUGGGUGUAAAGGGUGCGCAGGCGGACUUGUAAGUCAGGGGUGAAAUCUCACAGCUUAACUGUGAAACUGCCUUUGAUACUGCAAGUCUUGGAUCCAGGAGAGAGUUGUGGAAUUCCGAGUGUAGCAGUGAAAUGUGUAGAUAUUCGGAAGAACACCAGUGGCGAAAGGCAGCAACUUGGUCUGGUAUCGACGCUCAGGCACGAAAGCAUGGGGAUCAAACAGG
rnacentral:rRNA from 1 species